CGAAAACGGGUUUGGUAAUCAUACUCCGUUAAUACUAAAGGACGGGUAAAGUGCCGUUAGUAGUAAAAAUAACCCGGUAAAUAAUUGGAUUUAAAUAAGAAAUCCUAAUAUUAAAUACAAACGAAUCAAAGUUUUAAGGAAAUUGAGUCUAUAAGAGCCCGAGUUAACAGGACUUAAAAUAAAAACGGGUUAUAACUCCCGGGACCCACCAAGUAACUAGGAAUAUUAACCUAGUUAGUUGGCGUCUUGACAUAAUAGAACAAAUAUGGCUGAAAUAACCAAACUAUAUGAUUAACAAAAGUGGAGGGGCCUAUGUUGUUAAAAUUGAAACUUAUAUUAUUAGUUUUAAUUAAAAACAAAACCAAACACCCCCAUUUGGAUGUCUGGUCGAUCAAGAACAGGAGAGGGCGACCUCCCUCAUCCUCAAAACCCUAAAAUUCACUAAACCCACAAAUUGAAGGCUCAAUCCAAGUUGAAAUCAAAAUCUGAACAUGGAAUCGUGAUCACCUCGUCAAAAGGAGUCAUAAGUUUGACGCUAAACGAGCUAGGUGGAAGCUUGAGGACGAAGCGGGUCAAACAAAUCAAUAAGGAAAAGUAAGGCAUAGUUUGGAUGCGAGGAUAAACCGGCCUAUGAAUUAGCGAUGCUAUGAAUUAGCGAUUAUUGAGACAAGGUAUUAAAACGGGUCAAUAUGUUGAUCCGAACCAGGUUAAUGUUAUAUGCUUCCGCAUGAAGAUCAAGCCACAAGCAAGAACCGAACACACCUCUCAAUGAAGCUUCCGCAUUCGAUCUAGUUUUCUUUUAAUAAAAGUGGAUUAUGUAAACACUUUUAACGAUGUUUUGGAUGUUGUAAACAUGUUUAAAUACUUAUGAUGUAAAAGUUUUUGUUAAGUGGCAUUUUUCAUAUAAAAUGCUUACUUUAAUGUUAUGUAAAUGUUAAAAAUUAUUAUGGGUGUUACAAGUUGGUAAUCAGAGCCCAAGGUUAAAAGAAUAAAGUGUUCGGUUCGAGGCUUGAUCGCAAAUCCGGUAAGUACAAGUAUGUUAAUGGUUUAGCGUAUUAAAGUGUUGUAAACAACACAUAGGGUUAUCGUGUAAUACACGUUACCCUAAUUAAAAUGAUUGAUAUAGUUGAUGAAAAUACGCGCGUUGACGGAUAUAGUAGAAAAAGCCUUGUAUUAUAAUACGGGCGAUUAUUGAAGUUGAUAUUAUUAACUCUUGUAAAUGUUUUAGUUGAAGGACACUCGCAUCUAAAGAUAGCGGGAGUCUAACAAAUUGCGGACUUGACGGGGGAACGGUCCAAAGUACGACAAGUAGAACAUACUCACCAAUGACCUAAAUCACGUAGCGAUCGCGAACAAGGCUAAUGGCAAGAGAAGCCCGUUAGGGAAAGCAUUUCCAGGUGCACAUUUUAAAUUUAAUUGCACAAAUAGUAAUAUGCAACAAAUACGUAGAUAUUGAAAGUUGCAUAUGUAGAAAAAAACUUGGAAAACCCGGAUAGAAAAAUCUAUCCGGGAUAUUGUUUCCAAGAGAAAUAAAUAGAGGUGUUACUUACAUGAGGCGUGAUGUGAAAGUUAUAAAAGGGUCAUGUAUGUCAUGUGUUGAUCGCCUACUCUGGCCAAGUAGGUAGUGAACACAUGAUACCAUGAACUUAUUAUGAUGGACACACUUACACCCGAUGUAGUAAGGAUGGGGUGAUGGGACAAAUUAAAAAGUACCCAAAUGAAUCAGAUAAGCAAAAUAUUUGAUAAUAAUGUAAACGCACAGCCGAGUGACGGAAGCGUAUUACAUUAGGAUAAUGAGUCCGAGUGAAGGGACAAAGAAACAUGUAAAAUGAUUUAGACAUGAAUUGGGAGGGAGUGUACUUACACUCGAACCCAGAAAACGUAAAUAUGUAAAAUGAUUUAGACAUGAAUUGGGAGGGAGUGUACUUACACUCGAACCCAGAAAACGUAAACAUGUAAAAUGAUUUAGACAUGAAUUGGGAGGGAGUGUACUUACACUCGAACCCGGAAAACGCAAACAUGUAAAGUGAUUUAGACAUGUAUUGGGAGGGAGUGUACUUACACUCGAACCCGGAAAACGCAAACAUGUAAAGUGAUUUAGACAAGUAUUGGGAGGGAGUGUACUUACACUCGAACCCGGAAAAUACAAAUAUGUCCCUUUACGGGUCGUUUUGUAAAACGUCAAACUUAACGACAAAGUUAGAAAAAAAAAUGAAGCGAGGUCUUAAUGCAUACUGGGAGGGUUGCAAUAAUAACGACUUCGGUAAAACAACCGGUUAAUGGGUAAGAAUUAAACACAUGCGUAAACCAAGAAACGUGAACGCGGGUUAAAAAUUCAAAGGACUUGGAUUAUGAAUUAUGACCAUAAAUUUCGUAAAAGAAAUUUUGAAUAAAUAUGUUCAACUAUUUUAAAGUUGAACGGGUCAAAUAUAAUAUUAUGCCGGACGACAUGAGUAAACGCAAGCAGAAUAGUGGUAGCGUUAAAAACAAAAGAAUAAUGAGCCCGGUAAUGGGACAUAAUCAAAUAUGAAUGUAUGUAAACUGGAAAAAGGUGAGCAUAAAAUAAACCGACGCAUAAGCGACGUGAGAAGUCAUAAAGUCGGAAAAUUUGUUCGAAAAGAAACGAAUGUAGCCUUAGACUAAGGUCAAGGUCAAAGAAAAUACCAAGGCGAAAAUAAAUGAUUUUAAACAAAAACAGGAUGCCUUGACACCAAACAUGUAUUUUAAGAAUGACAUGAGUAAGGAAUGAUCUACGGGAUCAACCUAACCUUUGGGGUUAUAAAUAAUGGAAAGGUCUACGAGACUAAAACAACCCACGGGUCAUGACUAGAAAGAAACAGAUUAUAAGGACCCUGCCAUAAAGAGGUGAAAGUCUAAUAAAAUAGCCUAUAAGGCAAAGUGAUAAAACCUACGGGUUAAUUAGACAAAGCGAGGGAAUAAAUUGAGGAUCCCUGCAUAAAACAAAGACUGUAAAAGAAUGAAUUUUGGACUGUCGAUAUCCCGGUAUGGAUAAUUGACAAAAGUUAAAAAGAAGAUACUAAAACUAAAACUUCAGUUUUGAUAAGAAAUAACGUUCUUAAAAAUAUAAAUUCUAAUAGGAAUUUAAAUAGUAAGUAUAAAAGAUACAAGUCUUGACACUGAUAGGCGCAAGACGAUAUAUUCGAAAAGAGAUAUUUUCGAAAAAAAUGAAAGGUUGAUAUAAAUUAAACAUGAUGUGACACGAUCACGGGCAAGAAAGGCAAUGUGAAGUAGAAUCACAUUAUAACCAAGCGAGCGGUAAAAAGUAACUGGACUAAUAAGUCUAGUUAAUGAGACCGGUUAAAGUCAGCAAUUCAAAUCAAGAAAUUUGGUUUGCUCGGUAGAUUUGGUAUAAUUGAACCUAAUAAAUAAAUUUGAAAACAAAAGAAUUUGUUGCUAAAAGUGAAAGAUUUCACUAAAGACCUUAAACGGGUCAAAGUAACGGAUUCAUAAAGAAUUCGAUAGUAUACGAAAGCGAUGGAUAUCGCUAAGUUAACUAAACUAGUGGAAAUAAAGAGAUUACGUUAUUUCAAGUUGCACUAUGUCUUAUGAGAUAUGUAGACAAUUAGUGACCAAAAAUAUGUUACCAUACUUAUCUGGUAGUAAUAACAAUUGGUUAAAAGUGUAAGUAAUGUUUAAAAGAUUUCUCGGGUCAAAUACAUUGAGUUUAAACUCAAUGAAUUAUGUAAGAAAAGGUUUCGAGGACGAAACCUCUCUAAGGGGGGUAGACUUGUAACACCCCGAAAACGGGUUUGGUAAUCAUACUCCGUUAAUACUAAAGGACGGGUAAAGUGCCGUUAGUAGUAAAAAUAACCCGGUAAAUAAUUGGAUUUAAAUAAGAAAUCCUAAUAUUAAAUACAAACGAAUCAAAGUUUUAAGGAAAUUGAGUCUAUAAGAGCCCGAGUUAACAGGACUUAAAAUAAAAACGGGUUAUAACUCCCGGGACCCACCAAGUAACUAGGAAUAUUAACCUAGUUAGUUGGCGUCUUGACAUAAUAGAACAAAUAUGGCUAAAAUAACCAAACUAUAUGAUUAACAAAAGUGGAGGGGCCUAUGUUGUUAAAAUUGAAACUUCUAUUAUUAGUUUUAAUUAAAAACAAAACCAAACACCCCCAUUUGGAUGUCUGGUCGAUCAAGAACAGGAGAGGGCGACCUCCCUCAUCCUCAAAACCCUAAAAUUCACUAAACCCACAAAUUGAAGGCUCAAUCCAAGUUGAAAUCAAAAUCUGAACAUGGAAUCGUGAUCACCUCGUCAAAAGGAGUCAUAAGUUUGACGCUAAACGAGCUAGGUGGAAGCUUGAGGACGAAGCGGGUCAAACAAAUCAAUAAGGAAAAGUAAGGCAUAGUUUGGAUGCGAGGAUAAACCGGCCUAUGAAUUAGCGAUGCUAUGAAUUAGCGAUUAUUGAGACAAGGUAUUAAAACGGGUCAAUAUGUUGAUCCGAACCAGGUUAAUGUUAUAUGCUUCCGCAUGAAGAUCAAGCCACGAGCAAGAACCGAACACACCUCUCAAUGAAGCUUCCGCAUUCGAUCUAGUUUUCUUUUAAUAAAAGUGAAUUAUGUAAACACUUUUAACGAUGUUUUGGAUGUUGUAAACAUGUUUAAAUACUUAUGAUGUAAAAGUUUUUGUUAAGUGGCAUUUUUCAUAUAAAAUGCUUACUUUAAUGUUAUGUAAAUGUUAAAAAUUAUUAUGGGUGUUACAUACUCUUUUGUAA